rnacentral:rRNA from 1 species
AACGAACGCUGGCGGCAGGCCUAACACAUGCAAGUCGAGCGAGGACUUCGGUCCUAGCGGCGGACGGGUGAGUAACGCGUGGGAACGUGCCCUUUGCUUCGGAAUAGCUCUGGGAAACUGGGAGUAAUACCGGAUGAGCCCUUUGGGGGAAAGAUUUAUCGGCGAAGGAUCGGCCCGCGUUGGAUUAGGUAGUUGGUGGGGUAAUGGCCUACCAAGCCGACGAUCCAUAGCUGGUGUGAGAGGAUGAUCAGCCACACUGGGACUGAGACACGGCCCAGACUCCUACGGGAGGCAGCAGUGGGGAAUCUUAGACAAUGGGGGAAACCCUGAUCUAGCCAUGCCGCGUGAGCGAUGAAGGCCUUAGGGUUGUAAAGCUCUUUCAGCUGGGAAGAUAAUGACGGUACCAGCAGAAGAAGCCCCGGCUAACUCCGUG